CAGUAGCCGCGGGAAUACGAAGGGUGCAAGCGUUAAUCGGAAUUACUGGGCGUAAAGCGUGCGUAGGCGGCUUCUUAAGUCGGAUGUGAAAUCCCUGAGCUUAACUUAGGAAUUGCAUUCGAUACUGGGAAGCUAGAGUAUGGGAGAGGAUGGUAGAAUUCCAGGUGUAGCGGUGAAAUGCGUAGAGAUCUGGAGGAAUACCGAUGGCGAAGGCAGCCAUCUGGCCUAAUACUGACGCUGAGGUACGAAAGCAUGGGGAGCAAACAGGAUUAGAUACCCCGGUAGUCCCUGUCUCUUAUAC
rnacentral:rRNA from 1 species